rnacentral:rRNA from 1 species
UGAGUAACAGCGUGGGAUAACCUGCCCUGGUAUCCGGAAUAACAUCUCGAAAGGGGUGCUAAUACCGGAUAAGCUUACGGUUCCUUCGGUGACUGUGAGAAAAGGUGGCCUCUAUUUAUAAGCUACCGUAUCAGGAUGGGUCCGCGUACCAUUAGCUAGUUGGUGGGGUAAUGGCCUACCAAGGCGACGAUGGUUAGCUGGUCUGAGAGGAUGAUCAGCCACACUGGAACUGAGACACGGUCCAGACUCCUACGGGAGGCAGCAGUGGGGAAUUUUGCGCAAUGGGGGAAACCCUGACGCAGCAACGCCGCGUGAGUGAUGAAGGCCUUCGGGUCGUAAAGCUCUGUCAGAGGGGAAGAAAUGGAACUGGCUAAUAUCCAGUUUUCUUGACGGUACCCUCAAAGGAAGCACCGGCUAACUCCGUGCCAGCAGCCGCGGUAA